rnacentral:rRNA from 1 species
ACGGAACGAAAAGCCCCCUUCUAAUAAAGGGGGGUGAUGACGGUACCGUAAGAAUAAGCACCGGCUAACUACGUGCCAGCAGCCGCGGUAAUACGUAGGGUGCAAGCGUUAAUCGGAAUUACUGGGCGUAAAGCGUGCGCAGGCGGUUAUGUAAGACAGAGGUGAAAUCCCCGGGCUCAACCUGGGAACUGCCUUUGUGACUGCAUAGCUUGAGUGCGGCAGAGGGGGAUGGAAUUCCGCGUGUAGCAGUGAAAUGCGUAGAUAUGCGGAGGAACACCGAUGGCGAAGGCAAUCCCCUGGGCCUGCACUGACGCUCAUGCACGAAAGCGUGGGGAGCAAACAGGAUUAGAUACCCUGGUAGUCCACGCCCUAAACGAUGUCAACUGGUUGUUGGGAAUUAACUUUCUCAGUAACGAAGCUAACGCGUGAAGUUGACCGCCUGGGGAGUACGGCCGCAAGGUUAAAACUCAAAGGAAUUUGACGG